GGAGCAGGAGCAGGAGCAGGAGCAGGAGCAGGAGCAGGAGCAGGAGCAGGAGCAGGAGCAGGAGCAGGAGCAGGAGCUUCUGGAGUUAGGAUGAGGAGAGAAGCCUAACAGCAGGUUGACCCGUGACUCCAGUCCCAUGGCAGAAAGACAUGAUGAGAAAAUGGACUGCAGCUUCAGAUGACACCAAGGCCCAGGUCAGAAGAAUAAGCCAAUAGUGGAGGUCCGUAUAGGUAGCCCCAGUACCCCGGUCUCCAUGGUUUGCAUGCACAGGGCAGUCUACACCUACCCAAGAAGGAAGCUGGAGCUCUCGGUACUAGGGCGGACAGAAGAGAUCCUGGUGGGGCUAACCAAGACUCUACCCUGCCCGAUGCUGCUGGGGUUGGAUUGGCCACACCUAGGAGAGGUUGUUCACCAGUGGCUGACAGAUGGGCCCGCGGCAGAGGAAACGAGAUCCCACGCUCUUUGCUUCGGGGACGAGGAAGAAGGUCUGAACAUUGACCAGAUAAUAGAAGGAGGAAACUUCCACCAGGAACAAUGCCAGGAGCCCUUGUUGCAGAACAUAUGGAAAACCCAGAUGGAGGGACCAGAGAGAGCAACUGGGACAGCCCCGAAACCACCUUGGACUCUACGUUAUGAGUGGAGCAUUGAGCAGGACGGAGAAGUGGAAAUGUAGAUUUCCUAUCCCACCCAGAAGACGGUCCUAGCAAAGGCCCAAAACCCACCAAGCAAGACACCGGAAGGUCAAGUAUCAAGUUAGGACCUCCUAACAGGGGCAAGAAUCGUUAAGGAGAAAUCCUUGACUCUGCUGUUGGAUGGAGUUAAUGUCCUUCUUUUUUGGGGGUGGGUUUUCUUUGGGGACCCACCCCUGUUAACACUCCCCCUGUUCAGGGGAUCACGAGAAAAAAAAAUACCCCUGCCUGAAAAGGGGGAGAGGACCAAGUAACUGGAGGGGGAGGUGUGUAACAGAGUCCCGGCUGCAACUCUGUUACUAAGAGGGGUCAACAGCUGAGGAUAAUUGAUACCCGGCAGGGAAAAGGUGUGCCACACCCUCUUGAGCCAAUGAGGCUUACGAAGGAGGGAUAAGAAGGGGAGAAGACCCAGGAGAAGCCGCCUUUGGGCACCUACAGAUUGAGAGAAGCGGGCGAGGAGCCCUGAGGCAAGAGAUUCCGAGGAAGGCCCAGAGGCAGGGGCUCACCUUCACAGACGGCGAUGGGAUUACAGGAUCGAUCCACCCCUCUUAUCGCUACAUACCUGAAAAACCCAGCUUCUGUAGUGAUUUACAGGGAACGGAGCAGCGGCGCGGUGAAAAGCUGCGGCUGUGGGCCAAGACGUGGCGGGGUUGUCUGGGAGAAAAGGGGGCGGAGGAAUGCCCGACUCAGCCCUGAAGAAACGGGACCCCGAUCCCUCACUGGAGGACAAGAGGGUGGGGAGGAAAAAGAAAAAAGGACUGCAAAAGACUCGCGCUCCACACACCGGCACGAGAUGCGGCCGGGGAAUCCUGGUGUCGGUGUUAAUCAGCCGCUAAUAAGGCAAUUAGCGGCUGCUUACUGAGAGAACUCAUAGUACUUACUUUCCGAGUCAGAUGGCGGGGAUUCGCCCGAAUACACCAGGGGUCUCUGUGGCGGGUCCGAUGAACUGCCCCCUCCACCUGGCAUUCCUAGAAAGAGUAAGACUAGACUAAGAAUAAUAAAGCACCAGUAUCAGACACCAAUCCAGUGUGGUCCUUCCCGUGGGUACCUGCGCGGUUAACAUCUCCUCCCUCCCCAAUUUUGUUUAAAGGUUAAAAGUCAUGGCAGGCGAGAAUCUUGGGGUUAGGGGGUACCCGACUCGGACACGCUGACACCUACCAACUAUGAAACUAUGAAAUAAAUGGAAUUACAUCA